GAAUCUUGCGCAAUGGGCGAAAGCCUGACGCAGCCAUGCCGCGUGAAUGUUGAAGGUCUUAGGAUUGUAAAAUUCUUUCACCGGGGACGAUAAUGACGGUACCCGGAGAAGAAGCCCCGGCUAACUUCGUGCCAGCAGCCGCGGUAAUACGAAGGGGGCUAGCGUUGCUCGGAAUUACUGGGCGUAAAGGGAGCGUAGGCGGACAUUUAAGUCAGGGGUGAAAUCCCAGAGCUCAACUCUGGAACUGCCUUUGAUACUGGGUGUCUUGAGUGUGAGAGAGGUAUGUGGAACUCCGAGUGUAGAGGUGAAAUUCGUAGAUAUUCGGAAGAACACCAGUGGCGAAGGCGACAUACUGGCUCAUUACUGACGCUGAGGCUCGAAAGCGUGGGGAGCAAACAG
rnacentral:rRNA from 1 species